CAGGUUGGCUCCUGAGUCCCCAUCCUUUUUGCAGCCAUUCCUUUCUGGCAAUGCAGGACUUCCCAGGCUCACCUUGGACUUUCCCUGACCUAGCCCUGGAAUCAGUCACUUCUUCAAGAAGCCCAGGAAGGAUGUUGUUAACAGGUGCGGUGGGCUCCUCACGGACUGCGCCCCGCUGGGCCCGUCAGGACCCCCAGUUCUGUUUGAGGUAUAGAGUUUGUACUCGGAAGGGCAAUGGCUGGGUCUCAGAGCGUCACCAGAAAGGGAUACCUGCCAACUGACAAAGGUAUCUGUGAGCAGCACCCCCGCCCCUGUCCCUUCCAAAUCUCUGGGGGCUGGAGGAUGGUGGGGGGGAGCCCAGUCGGAGGAAUGGGAGUACAGUCCCGGUCGGCUCGAAGACGUUCUUAGUGAGUCACAAAACUAGGACAUGAAAAAUGAAUUUUUUUCCAGGUCGUUCUGGUAGUAUUUGUUUAAAUUCUGACGUUUUAUCGAGCAAGUAUCAAAACGUGCAGCUCAAACUGGCUUAAGCUAAACAGGUUUCAGCGACUCAACCGAAAAGACGUGGUUGGACCGCAAUGCAGUUUGCCGAGGUUUCUGGCUCCAUUUCUCCACAAGAAAGCAACAGCAACAUCAACCCGCCCUGACUGGAAAACCGGCCACUCAACACUGUAGACGUCAGCGCGGUGCGCCGCUAAUCUGCAGGGUCCGGGCGGGAGGGGGCGCGGCCGGGGUCGCCGGAACGCAAUGCCGUAGGCGCCUCUGCGCCGCCGGCGCCCCCGAUUGGCCGAGUCCGGGUCACGUGGCCGCGCCCUCGCCGCAAGGGCCGCUGGGAGAACCGCUGUCUGGGCUGGGGGUGUCUGAGUCGCGCGGUCGCGGGGGCGUUCGGUGCUGCAGGGCCGGGUGCAGACGUAGAGGUCGCGCGAGCCCGGGGGAGUGCGGCCGCCAGCCGGCGCGGAUGCGGCGCCCGUCAGCGGCCGCGGUGUUGGUCGCACUUCUUUUUCAGGCGGCGGCGCGCACUUGCCUGACGCGGAGCUGCGGCCGGGAGGGGUGGCCGCGCAACCCUCGUGGGGACCGGGAUCGCGGGUCCGAAGCUCGUCAGCUCCCGCAGCUGCUGGGCCCUGCGCACAGCUGCUGCGCGCCCCGGAGCCGGAGGCCGGCCGCCGGGACCUCUGGGCUAAGACGGAGCGGGCUGGAGAAACCUUGUCGCUGAGUUGUUGGGCGAUACUGUUGUCCUGUAGGGAUUGUAUACGUCAAAGCGAAAUUCCUAAUUUUGGUUUCGCCAUUAAAUGUCAUCAAGGAUUUCAAGCCA